rnacentral:lncRNA from 10 species
GAAAGAGGAGAAAGCAGUAAUGCAUAUAGAAAAGAAUGAGAAGGAAUUUAAAAGGGAAAUAACAUCAUCUCAUUAUAUUUUGAAUGUGGACCAUUUCACCCACAAACUUCACUCAGUCUUUUCCGGUUUUGUGCUUCACUUGCCGUUAAUUGUUUCUGCCAUCCCAGUUCUGCCAUUCUAGGACAUGGGGGAUGUGGAACAUACAGCAUUUGGCCUGACUAGACUGCCACUAUGGCUGCUUUCAAGAGAUUAGAGAUACUGCUUUCUCAGGAAGGAGUACUUCCUAUUCCCACCCUUGCCUAAAUGAUAGAUUUUGCCUAAAUCCCAAAGCUAGAUCUCUGGAUUUUAUCGUUUGUGUAGAUAGCAAAAAUGGCCACGAACUCUUUCCUUCUCAUCAAGAGGUGCCAUCUUUUUUCCAACCCCUUGAAUCUGGAGUUGGCUAUGUGAUUUGAUUUAGCCAGUAGCCCAACAAAUGUGACACAAGCAGAGACUUGAAAAGUUCUUGUGCAUGGGGCUUGUCCUCUUUUGCUGCUCUUGGGAACCUUGCAACUACCAUCAGGUGAACAAGCCUGGACUAUCCUGCUGCAUGACAAAAGAAAAGGGCCCAGUUACCCUUGUCACCCUAUCUGACAGCCCGUCAACUUCCAGCUGAUGCAGACAUGGGAAAGGAGAACUACUUGGAUUCCUUGAGUGUCUGAAGUUCA